UUUGAUGGAGUUUGGAGAAGAAAAGAAUAGGUUUGGAAAGGUUGAAGAAGGUAUAAAUAGUGGAAAAGGUAAAUCUGACUGUUACGUCAUGGCGCCCGCCAUGUCUUCAUAUAUGGUUUGGGCCGACUGUGUUGUUUGCUUCUUGGGCCUCAAUUCUCUCGUCUUCAUUUUUGCAAUGGGGGGUGUAUAUAGGGAUCCACGAAUGCUGUUUUUUUUUUUUUUUUUGAUUUUAAGCUUGAUAGAAUAAAAUGUAACGAAAUAAAAUAAAUCAAAAUAAAGUAAAACAAAAUUAAAUAAAACAAAACAAAAUAAAAUAAUGGACAUAAAAAACACAAUAAUUA
rnacentral:lncRNA from 1 species